GACGAACGCUGGCGGCGUGCUUAACACAUGCAAGUCGAACGGAAAGGCCCUGCUUUUGUGGGGUGCUCGAGUGGCGAACGGGUGAGUAACACGUGAGUAACCUGCCCUUGACUUUGGAUAACUUCAGGAAACUGGGGCUAAUACCGGAUAGGAGCUCCUGCUGCAUGGUGGGGGUUGGAAAGUUUCGGCGGUUGGGGAUGGACUCGCGGCUUAUCAGCUUGUUGGUGGGGUAGUGGCUUACCAAGGCUUUGACGGGUAGCCGGCCUGAGAGGGUGACCGGCCACAUUGGGACUGAGAUACGGCCCAGACUCCUACGGGAGGCAGCAGUGGGGAAUAUUGCACAAUGGGCGGAAGCCUGAUGCAGCAACGCCGCGUGCGGGAUGACGGCCUUCGGGUUGUAAACCGCUUUCGCCUGUGACGAAGCGUGAGUGACGGUAAUGGGUAAAGAAGCACCGGCUAACUACGUG
rnacentral:rRNA from 1 species